UUAAUUAGCAGUUUGCCAUUAGCCUCAUCUCUCCCGCUCAAUUAAACCCCAGAACCCUAAAAAAAAAAAAGCUCCUAAAGUUAACCCUAAAAAUUUAUCAAAGGAAAGAGAGAAUUUACGAAUCCCUGAUGGAAGAGGAGACGAUUUCGACAAGAACCAUGGUUGAGGCCUCUUUCGAACGCCGCGGAUUCAUCUGAAACUGGUCAAUUGCAUUAAAAUUGCCUCCAGUGCUAUCAUUGGUUUCAUCAACUACAGUUCUUAGCGUCCAUUGGCGAUCAUUAGUCAUUACAGAGGAGCUUAAUGCUAAUCAUUGAGGUUGCAUAGACUAGACUCUUUCCUUUGGCACCAUGGGGAAAGCUCAAAGAGGUUAUCUUUUAUCUUUCUUUCUUCCUUUUUUCUCUCAUAAAAGGCAACUUUUUUCGUAGUGGAUGUCAAGGAUUUUUUGGUGACAACAGCAAAGGUUUCUUGUUGUAACCGUUUCUGGCAGACAAUGCCCAAGUUUGAUUAAACUUUUGCUUUUGUGAGCUCACUCACGUCACAGCUGCUGCUUUUGCAUCUCCAUGAAUACUUCAUCACAACAGCAGGAUCAUAAAGAGAUAACUACACAGCGGACACCUUGCUCAAUAAUUUUGCUGUCAAUGGAAGAAAAAGGGUUGAAGACAAUUUGAUUUAGGAAACUAGUAUUCGGUAAAUUCCCAAAAAACAUCGCAAGAAUUAGAGCUAAAUCUCUGUAAUAUAUGUUGCUGUUGCCUUGUAAGUUGUAACCGCUAACUGUUGAGGGUGAGGAUAGUGGUUUAGUUCCAUGGAUCCAUAGAGUUGUCAUUAUUUGAUUACAAUCAUAAAUGUAAUGCGGAAUGCAACUGCUACCGUGAAAUUUAGGAGCAUUUUUCCCACAAGGCAACGACGGUAGAUUUCUUCAAUGUACUAUAUCUGUUGGAUCACAA